rnacentral:sRNA from 1 species
GAAGGGUGAGAACCUUCGAUUAAGGUUCGACUCGAGCGAAAGCGAGAGAACGUUGCCAACGGCAACGGCCCGUAGGGUGAGGAGCGAAGCGACGAAUAAUCCUUCCCCCACCACCA